UACGGAGGGUGCAAGCGUUAAUCGGAAUUACUGGGCGUAAAGCGCACGCAGGUGGCUGAGUAAGUCGAUUGUGAAAGCCCUGGGCUCAACCUGGGAAUUGCAGUGGAUACUGGCGAGCUAGAGUGCGGUAGAGGAUGGUGGAAUUCCCGGUGUAGCGGUGAAAUGCGUAGAGAUCGGGAGGAACACCCGUGGCGAAGGCGGCCAUCUGGACCAGCACUGACGCUGAGGCACGAAAGCGUGGGGAGCAAACAGG
rnacentral:rRNA from 1 species